rnacentral:ncRNA from 3 species
UACGAAGGGGGCUAGCGUUGUUCGGAAUCACUGGGCGUAAAGCGCAUGCAGGCGGAUCAGUCAGUCAGGGGUGAAAUCCCGAGGCUCAACCUCGGAACUGCCUUUGAUACUGCUGAUCUUGAGUCCGGGAGAGGUGAGUGGAACUCCGAGUGUAGAGGUGAAAUUCGUAGAUAUUCGGAAGAACACCAGUGGCGAAGGCGGCUCACUGGCCCGGUACUGACGCUGAGAUGCGAAAGCGUGGGGAGCAAACAGG